rnacentral:lncRNA from 1 species
UAAGCCAGACGUGAUCGGACUGAGCGAUCUCCUGUAUUUGUCAAGUGUUCUUGUUUGUUGCUGGGGCUGCUCUGGCCUGUACAAUGGUGGCACCACAACAGCCGUUUUGGUGGUGGUCUAGGCAGGUGCUAGACUGUUUGUUAGCCAUUUGAUGUGAUGGCCCUGCGUGCCUACCUGGUUGUUGUGCUUGACCCGUGGUGUUAUUGACCUGUAGUCUCUUAGUUGCCGGUCAUGUACAAUAGCUGUUUGGUUAUAUGACUCUGUUCCUUUCUUAGGUAGCUAGCCCUGACUGUAAUUUGCAGCAUGCAUACUUAUCCGUGUUCUGUUCCUUGCAUUUAUCUGUGUAAAACAGUUGUAUUCUUGUGGAUUUCUUGCUUGCUGUCUGCAUUUCAUGGCUUUCUCACCAUUUGACAAUGCAAUGCGUCUUUGGUUGAUGUGUUGUGAAUUAUGAGCUACUCCCUUUGUUUCAAAGUUGAG